AUUGAACGCUGUCGGCAGGCCUAACACAUGCAAGUCGAACGAGUGGCGGACGGGUGAGUAAUGUCUGGGAAACUGCCUGAUGGAGGGGGAUAACUACUGGAAACGGUAUCUAAUACCGCAUACCAUCAGAUGUGCCCAGAUGGGGUUAGCUGGUUGGUGGGGUAACGGCUCACCAAGGCGAGAGUCCCUAGCUGGUCUGAGAGGAUGACCAGCCACACUGGAACUGGGAAACGGUCCAGACUCCUACGGGAGGAAGAAGUGGGGAAUAUUGCACAAUGGGCGCAAGCCUGAUGAAGACAUGCCGCGUGUAUGAAGAAGGCUUUCGGGUUGUAAAGUACUUUCAGCGGGGAGGCGUUACCCGCAGAAGAAGCACCGGCUAACUCCGUGCCAGCCGCCGCGGUAAUAC
rnacentral:rRNA from 1 species